CUCAUCUCUGCUCAAUUUUGGGAAAAUCCUGGAUUUUUUAUACCUCUUGGUGUUUUAGUAUGGCCCGGGACUCUCUCUUAACCCCAAAUGAAAAUACCCUUCACUCAUGCUCCUUUUUACCCAUCCUUGUUCACGAAGUUCUGCCUGAGAGAUUCAAGCUAACUGAAGAUGAGAUCAUAAAAGUGGAAUCUUUGAUUUUACAGCUUGUCCAGAAUAAGGAUGACGAGGGUUGCAGAGCUGAACAGGGAGAGUCGAACUACUCUCUUGAUUCUGCUGAACUGAGAAAUGCAACCCUGUGAUGGCUUUGGUGCAGCAAGUAGUGAAUAUUAUUGAAGCUGUUUCUGGGGCACCUGGUGCAGAAGAUUGCAGUGACAAUUGCCUUUCUGCUACUCUAGCUUCUCAGUUGAAGAUCUGCUUUCUUUGUGCAAAUUUUGGCCUAAAUGAAACUGACAUAAUUUUUGUAGUUGAUCAUUUGGUUGUUGUUUGGUGGUCUUUGAGGAGGAGAAGAGUGUCACACUUGGGCAUGCAACUCAUGGCUUUAUAAAGUAUAUUUUUCUUUGUGCAAAUUUUGGCCUAAAUGAAACUGACAUAAUUUUUGUAGUUGAUCAUUUGGUUGUUGUUUGGUGGUCUUUGAGGAGGAGAAGAGUGUCACACUUUGGGCAUGCAACUCAUGGCUUUAUAAAGUAUAUUUCAUAUUCAUCUGCAAAAAUUUGCAAUCAUGGCUUGGCUGACUCUGAUUUUGAGCCUCUGAAGCAAAAAGCUGGCAGCUAUACUCUGAGGGCUACAUUGAAUGUCCUACAUAUUCUUCUCAUAUACGGAGCGGAGUUGAAAUAUAUACUUGAACCUGCUCUUUCAACAGUUCCUUUGUCACUAACCAUGGCAGGAAGUAACUCCCGACUUGUUUGCUCGGUUAAGUUCUCAUCCCGAGCAAGUGGUUCGGAAGCAGUUGGAGGGCUCACUAAUGAUGCUGGCCAAGCAAUCUCCUUGGUCCAUUGUCUACCCAACACUAGUUGAUGUGGAUGCUCAUGAAGAGAAGCCUUCAGAGGAGCUUCAGCACAUACAUGGUUGUUUGGUAAGGAAAUUUCUUUCAUUAUUUUUAUUAUUAAUUUUUUUUUCAGGAUGUUGUGCAUUUAGUGCAAUACAAUUAGACUCAAACAGAAUUGAUGGAAAGGACAAGUGGUGUAACGCGAGAUCUACUUGGUGGGAGGAUGUAG